GGUUGAUCCUGCCAGUAGUCAUAUGCUUGUCCUAAAGAUUAAGCCAUGCAUGUCCAAGUAUAUACCUAUAUACGGUGAAACUGCGAAAGGCUCAUUAUAUCAGUUAUAAUUUGGUUGAUGAAAGCUACUACAUGGAUAACCGUGGUAAUUCUAGAGCUAAUACAUGCAAGAGGUCCGCAAGGACGGUAUUUAUUAGAUAAGAACUCUGCCAUUCGUGGCGUGGGGAAUCAUGAUAACUGGACGGAUCGUAGGACAUUGGUCGACGACGCAUCAAAGAAAUUUCUGCCCUAUCA
rnacentral:rRNA from 1 species